GACGAACGCUGGCGGCGUGCUUAACACAUGCCAGUCGAACGGAAAGGCCCUGCUUUUGUGGGGUGCUCGAGUGGCGAACGGGUGAGUAACACGUGAGUAACCUGCCCUUGACUUUGGGAUAACUUCAGGAAACUGGGGCUAAUACCGGAUAGGAGCUCCUGCUGCAUGGUGGGGGUUGGAAAGUUUCGGCGGUUGGGGAUGGACUCGCGGCUUAUCAGCUUGUUGGUGGGGUAGUGGCUUACCAAGGCUUUGACGGGUAGCCGGCCUGGGAGGGUGACCGGCCACAUUGGGACUGGGAUACGGCCCAGACUACUACGGGAGGCAGCAGUGGGGAAUAUUGCACAAUGGGCGGAAGCCUGAUGCAGCAACGCCGCGUGCGGGAUGACGGCCUUCGGGUUGUAAACCGCUUUCGCCUGUGACGAAGCGUGAGUGACGGUAAUGGGUAAAGAAGCACCGGCUAACUACGUG
rnacentral:rRNA from 1 species